GUCAAGAUCAGAUAAAAAUUAUAGUUGGAGUAUCCGUCGGGAUUGGGUUAUUGCUUGCUCUUCUGAUCAUCUGUGCAGCAACUAUGUGCAGGAAGAAGAAGAGAAAGCAUGAGCAUACGCAAUAUUAUGGAGACUAUCAAGGAGGCGGUGAUAAAUAUUACCAAAGCACAGUCCAGCAAAACUGGCACAAUGGUCCCCACGGAUCAGAGCACAUCAUGAAGCCAUCUCAAUCACCAGCACCAGGCGUUGGCUGGCAUGGACCUCCUCCGCCUCCCCAGAUGAUGAUGAGCGGCGAAAUGAUGAGCUCCAAUUUCUCCGGUCCACACCGUCCUCCCUUGCCACCUCCGUCGCCAAAUAUUGCUCUUGGGUUCAACAAAAGUACCUUCACAUACGAUGAACUUGCAGCAGCUACAGGAGGGUUUGCUCAGGCCAAUUUAUUGGGUCAGGGUGGAUUUGGUUUUGUGCACAAGGGUGUGUUGCCUAAUGGAAAGGAAAUUGCAGUUAAGAGUCUCAAGUCUGGUAGUGGACAAGGAGAGCGAGAAUUCCAGGCUGAAGUUGAGAUCAUUAGCCGUGUCCAUCACCGCCAUCUAGUGUCCCUUGUUGGAUAUUGUAUUGCUGGAGGGCAACGAAUGUUGGUUUAUGAAUUUGUUCCCAAUAACACCUUGGAACAUCACCUCUAUGGGAAAGGUCUUCCGGUUAUGGAUUGGACAACAAGGCUCCGUAUUGCGUUAGGCUCUGCCAAAGGGCUUGCUUAUCUCCAUGAAGAUUGCCAUCCUCGGAUUAUUCAUCGUGAUAUCAAGGCUGCUAAUAUUCUCCUUGAUUAUAACUUUGAAGCCAUGGUAGCUGAUUUUGGAUUGGCUAAGCUAUCUUCUGACAAUUAUACUCAUGUCUCAACUCGUGUCAUGGGUACAUUUGGGUAUUUGGCUCCAGAGUAUGCAUCAAGUGGGAAAUUGACGGAGAAAUCAGAUGUUUUCUCAUUUGGGGUCAUGCUUUUGGAACUCAUAACUGGAAAGAGACCUGUGGAUCCUACAAACGCAAUGGAAGAUAGCUUAGUGGAUUGGGCUCGACCACUUCUAAAUCGCUCCUUGGAUGAUGGCAACCAUAGAGAGUUGGUCGAUUUGCGGUUGGAGAAUAACUUCAACCCUGAAGAGAUGCAGCGCAUGGUUGCCUGUGCUGCUGCCAGCAUUCGCCAUUCUGCAAGAAAGCGCCCAAAAAUGAGUCAGAUAGUACGUGCCCUGGAAGGGGAUGUUUCACUGGAUGAUUUAAACGAGGGAGCGAAGCCUGGCCACAGUACUGUGUUCGGUAGUGCAAAUGGAAGCUCUGACUACGAUGCAAGUUCAUAUAAUGCAGAUAUGAAGAAGUUUAGGCAAGUGGCAUUGUCAAGCCAAGAAUUUGGGAGCAGUGAAAUUGGAACUCCAAGCACCGACUCCAGAGAGAUGUCCCCUGUAGGUCGCAAGAACUAAUUUAUGAGCAGCAGGCAGCAACAUAAGCACAUGCACCAAAGACUUAGACAAAGCUUGAAUGCCCAAGUAUUGGCCAUUUUGGAGGUUAAGAACAACAAAUAUAUGCAUGACAUUAUCUCACCAUUGUUUUUAAUUCAUUUGUUGAUUUGGAACUUGUGUUUGUUCAAAGGGUUUAACUUAGAAAAUGGAGAUUGAAAAUAUAAGGACCAAGAUCGCACGCUCUGGAUCUUUCAGUAAUGGAAUUGCUAUUUUUCUUUCAUUUUGUAAGUUGUAGCAUUCAUAAUUCCAUGGACUUCAAGUUCAGGGGCAAAUUCAGCUUCUAUUGUGAACAUGAGUUGUUUGUGUUAUUACGUACACCUUGUAGAAACUUUUUAAAUGAACCUUUUUCAUCCUUU
rnacentral:misc_RNA from 1 species